GUUUCUUUUGCGUACUUACAGUUUGUUUAUUGAAAUAGACUAUGGAGAAUCUUGAUCAUCUCGGAGACUUUAUGGUUUGCUUCGUUGUCUAGCGGGCGUUUCCAGGUGUUAGGAUUGCCAUUCCUUGGGAGUGGUGGGAAUUGUUGAUUGUAGUUGACAGGGUGUGGAACAUGGUGAUAUGGUUGGUGUGGUCGGUGGUUUGGUGUGAACUGUUUAUUAGUGGGUGGGUGGAAUAAAGGUUUUGGGCUGUAAUGCUUUUGUUUGGUGCCAAAAUAUGCACUUUCGAGGUUUUUGGCAAAUAUCUUGACUCCUUUAUGAUUGAGAUGUUUCUUGUCAUAUAGAAUUUGGGUGGAUUCAAAGAGAUUUGUAUGUUUCAAAAUGGUGGUGUUUGGAAAUUCAUUUGUAAACUUCUCAAGACGAUCAUUUAGUGUUUUUGCCUUUUGAAGCAGGUGAUCAUUACUGGGUAGGAGACUUGACAAGAUUAAACGGGCUUGGGGGUGUUUCUGUCUGAUGGAGGACAAGAGCGUUUUUGUCUUGUUGUUGAUGUUGUCAAUAGAGCAUCUUUCAAUAUCAUUUGUACCUGUAUGGAUUAUGAAUGUCUUGGGAUUGCU